GAAAAGUUAGUUAAUAAAUAACCUAAAAUUGUCAAUUUUAAAUUACUAUAUAAUUAGUACUUUUCU
rnacentral:tRNA from 1 species